CUGAAAUUGCAGAAAUUAUCUCAUCUAUAAGUAACCCCACUGGAAUUGCUUGACUGUUCUGUUUCACAGUGGAGAAAUUCAUCUUUCAUCAGCACACACGAGAAGAGACAACAGGAAGACAAAACAAAUUGAGUAGAUAAUAAAGUUACCUUAUAGGAAUAGGUAAUAUAGACAGGUAAGGUCAGAAAUUUCUGUGGAAUGGAAUAUGAAAAGAUGUUUAUGAGCAGAUUCUAUUUCUUUAGGCAGUUUUAUCAUUCAGAGAAGUAAUCUAUGCAUUUAAUCUAAUGCCAGCUUUUAUUUUUCUUUGGUGAUUACCACACAAAAAUAAGAAGUUGGCACCAAAUUAAAUGCAUGGAUUACUUCUCUGAUAAAAGUACUCGAUAUAAGGGAAAUUUGAAGGAAAUAGAAUGCAUACAUACACACACAUACACUUAGUAUAUGUGUGUGUGUGUGUGUGUAUAUAUAUAUAUCUGUGUGUAUAUACACACCACACACACACACACACACACGUAUUGGAGGAAUAAGAAAUAUUUAAUAAAAUCUACACAAUUUCAAAAAUAUGACCAAAUACUGGUGGUUCCUCAUUUACCAGUAGAACUCUCUCUACAAAUGGAAAGUGAGAAGUCUAUGAAGUUACCUUAGUUUUUCCAAUUAAGACUGUUCAUUGAUUGUAUUUCUUCUGUCUCUAUAAGUACCAUAUUCCCAAUUAGUAUUUCAUCAGUUAUAAGACCCAUCAUUAUUUUGUGUGUAACUGAAAAUGAAAAAAAGAUUUAAAAUAUGACUUAGUAGUUAGAAUUUUUAUCUUAUACGCCUUUAAGUAAAUACAAGAGAACUGUUUCAGCAUAGAUUUUUAAAAAUCAUGUGUGUAAAAGAGAAUGAAAUAUUAAUUAUGAUAUUUACAAAGCUCUGUACAUUCAGAAUUGAACUCUUUCUGCAUCUCUUUUUUGAAUCAGAGUUGUCAUAAACCACAAUUUUUCACGGUAACACCCUCUCUGCCAUCAGGAUAAAUAACAUUUCUUAAAGGAAUAUUCUACUGCAGUCUCUGAGAUUUUUUUCCCUGUCUUAGACAUCCAUUCUACAACUCUGAUGCUGGCACAUUUUUUAUCUUGGCAAAAGGACUUAAUAGAAAAAUUUUAGAUAACAAUCAGGAUUCAUACUCUUCUCAAUAGUCCUUAAAUGGUUUAUUGACCAAAAAGUAAAGAAGUAACAGUCCAGUCAUAUCAUGGAAAGAACAACCAAAUUCAUGCAUGCACAGGCAAAGACAACCAUAUCACUAUGACCACCUGGCUGACAGUAACUGCAGGACAUCAAUUAUUGUAAGACACUUCCUGUAAUAUGUUUAAUUCCUCUGACAUAAGGAUUUAUGUGAAUUAGGAAGUGGCCCAAGGGUGAAAAGUAAUAGGGAAAUAGAGAAAUAGAACCGAUCCAAAGGAAAGGGGGAAAAAAACCCACAAAAAGUGUGAUGUCAAGCAAAGCCUAUUCUGGAGAUGACUUUGGUUCACUCCCACGGGAGAGCCCUAGAGACAAAAAGGUUCUACAGUAGGUUCAAGUCAGAGGCCAGAGAACCCAGAGUAUUUAUACCUCUGCACCAUCAGUUAUUGAAUGGGGGUGGGGGUGGGGGUGGGUGUAAAUUUCCAGGUGCUUCCAGCCUGCAAUGCAGUCAAAGCAUGUUCCUGUAGCCUGAGGACAGCCGUCCAACAAAGAGGUGCAGGUGCUGAAUGUUGAGAGUGAAAGCACAGGGAGCUGUCAUGCAUGAGAGUGGUAGAGGGAUCUGAAAGUGCUAGCAGUGCCUAUUAUACAUCCAAAUACUAAAGACGCUUAGAUGUGAAAAAUGUGUGUCUUAGAAUCGAUAAAAUAUGGUAUAGAGAAUCAAGUCUCCUUGUUCCUGGUUUAUCUCAUAGCAUACUUAAAAUUCAGCUAAAGAUGAAAUGCCUUAACAAGUGAAAUGGGCUUUCUGAAAAAUUAUUUCAAUCAAAAUUGUGUUAAAAGCUAUUUCUAAAAACCCUAACAUGAAAUACUUAGAAGAGAUCAAGUGGUUUGUCCCUGGACAUUCAAGCAAUUGAAUGUCUAAACAAUCCAAGACAGAUAAUUUUGUAGUAUUUACUGUGUGAAGUGAACCUUUAAGGCUGUGGACAAUGCAAACUCCCUCAUGUACCUUGCUCCUUGCCAAUUUCAAACAAACCUUCUCACCUAUGAUAUAAGGCUUCCUUAGAAUUAUUGAUUAAUUAUUUAAGAUACAAUAAAACCAAAGUAUUUUUAAAACACAGUAAUUAUGUUAGUGCAGGUACAUGACAUAGAUAUCCUCAAAUAUUCUUAGGACAUCUAUAAAUCACCACAAACAUUCUGGAAAGCAGUCUUGGAACAUCUAUCAAAGGCCUUAAAAAUUUCUUCUUCUGUGAAUUUAUCCUCACAAAUGACCCCAAGUUUAGACCAAAAUAAAAAAAUGCUUAAAAGGCUUAUUAAAGCAUGAUUUAAAAUAGAAAUGAUUGCCUAAAUUCCUGAAAACAGGGGAAUGUCUAAAUAAAAUAUGGUAUCUAACAUGAUAGAAAAUGUUUACUAAUGUUUAAUGAUACCAAGAAAGUAUCACAAUAAUAACAUCAAGUGGUAAUAACAGGAAACAGAUCUGUAUACAAUAUAAAACCAACAGUAUUGUAUAUAUAAACACCAUAGAAGAUCUGAAAAAAAAUUAGAUGACAUUAUUUGUGAUAUCUAUUUUAUUUAUUAUAUUUUUCUGCAUACUACUCUACAGUGAGCCUGUCCUUUAUAAGAAAAAAUGCUAAUGAUUUAUUGUGUAUGAAAAAAGUGUAUCUGAUUUGAUUAUAUAUUUUUAUUUCCACUUAUAUUUUCUAGGAUUAUUUUGCUUUAGAAUUCUAUGUAUAAUCCUGUGAAAAUUUGUAGUGUUGUAGGGACUGGAAAGAUCAGAGAUUAUGUUAUGGCCAUGAAUGAGGCCUGACCUGCAUUGUCAAUAACUAAAUUGAUUAUUGUGGAAACAACAAAAAAAUUCAUUUUUUGAAAUGAAAAUCUUUAUUGAAAUAACUAUUUUACCAUUGUGUGGUCAGAUUCACUGCAUUUGAUGCUUUUUCAGGAUUUGUUUUUCCUGCUAGAAAUGCUAGAGUUGUCACAGAUGUGAUAUUUAUGUUUUCAUUGUCUGGGGAGGGCCAAGUUUCAUGACAGAGAAAGACUGGGGCCAAUUCUGUGAUUAUGGAUGUCAACUUAUCUCAGAGCAGUAUCAUUGGUUGAGCAGUCCUGCAGGACAUCUAAGUUUACCGUCUUUAUCUUGCCAUUGUCAAAGAUCCUGGACCUAUUUUUUUCUGCCUUGAAAACUUUUGUGCAGUAAAACCAGCAAUGGAUUUUAGCAGAGUUGAUGCAUCAUUAGGAUUUUCACAUUAACUCUUUGGACUUAGAGCCAUGUCUAAAGUGUCCUUCUUUUGGAUAUAGUGCCUGGUGCAGAACUCUACCACAAAACAUCAGGUGUGCCUCUGAAUAGUCUUUGCAAGAAGCACAAAAUCCUAGAAUUGAGGUGAAUUUGUAAGUUCCUCUAGUCCAACCACCUUUCAAAUGAAAGAAUCCUUCCAAAGCACCCCUGGCCAAUAGCUCAUCAAGAUUUUGCUUAGAUAUUCUUAUUGAGGGGGAACUUACUAACUCCUUUAAUUCUUAUUUUGCUUAAGGCUGAGUUUUUAAAACAUCUAACAUCAGCCAAGAUUAUUGAUUUAUCUAUAAGGAAUAAUCUGUGAAUUAACCUUCUGUAGCUUUUCCUUGCUGACCAGGGAAUACCUCCCCAUUGAAGCCUAGGCCAGAUUCCAGUCCGUUUUGACCAUACCCCAUCAUGGUAUUUUAGAGUACACCUGAAUAAGAUACAUGGUGCCAUGUACAUGGAAACUGACUGCUCUCAUGUUACGGGUUGAACUGUGUCCCCCCAAAAUUUGUAUGUUGAAGUCCUAAAAUUGGCACUGUUGCCAUAAGCCAGGGAACUACCUAGGAGAUGCUAGGAGAGAGGCCUAGAAUGGAACCCUCCCUCCCCCGCCCCUGGGGCCUUCAGAGGGAGCGGUGCCCAGCUGACACCUUGACCUUGGACUUCUAGCCUCCAAACUGUGAGACAAUACAUUUCUGUUGCUUAAGCCACUCAGUUAGUGUGCUUUAUUUUGGCAGUCUUAGCAAACUAAUACAUCCCCCAAUCCAGAACUGUCCUCCUUUGGAUAAUAAAAACAGCAAUAAUUAUAGUGUCAUUACCCUGAGUGACUGGUCCCACUGUUGGUCAUUCUUUGUAGAUGUGAGUUAUUGCCCUAUUGAGAUCAGAAGUCCUCUCACUUAGAGGCAUAUCUAAGACUUUUUUCUUGUGGAGGGAGCUCACUCAACUGUAGGUAAGGUUUGACUCAUCUGGGUUAGUAGUAAGAACAAACUUCCAAGUGGCACCAUCUUAAAGGUGCAAGCCCAUGUGGGCGAUGACCAGGUCUGGUAUAUUAAGAGGCUCUUGGUAGCACAUUAGAAACACCUGGAGAGAUUUUAAAAUUUACAAAGCCUAGCCAAACCCCAGACCCAUUAACCCUGACUCUCUGAGAAUAGGACCCUGGCACCUGUGUUUUAAGGAUUCUAGGUGAUUUCAAUGUGUAGCCAAGGUUCACUGCCAUAGCCUGUCCUGGAAUGCAGGUAACUAAAACUUCAGCAGAUUAUGAAAAACAAAAGUUACUUUCUUGGAUGCAUAUAUUCUUAUAGCCUCAAAACUGAAACUGCAAACUGAACAAUGCUGCAGUCAGAUACACACACAUAUUUCAACUGCAUAACUUCCUUUAAUAAUACUUUUAUUUUUCCAAAUUUGAAGACUGUCCCUAAGUCAUUUCUUCUAAAAGUUAGUAAUAAUCCCACCAACUCACAUUUACAUAGAAGUUACAGUUUAAAGUUUGCAUCUCGUAAUAACUUGGUGAGAUAGGGCAAGCAUUAUUUCUAAUUUGCAUAUGAGAAAAAACUAAGGCUCGGAUGAGUUAUGUGACUUCCCUGAGUCAUGUUAGAGUAACUAACUCCUGAUUUGUAAACUGAAGGUCCCAAAUCCUGGGAACUCCCUCAGCUCUGGGCAAGCCAGGACAGGUAGGUCACCCUGCACCUACACAAGGACUGAGCUGAGUUCUAGUUACCUGCUGUGAAGGACUGUAGAGGUUAUCUAAGCCAGCUCCUCCUUUUACUGGAAAAGGAAAAGACUGAGAUAAGUUUCCAAAACCCCUGCUGGAGCACCUUCUACUUCUAGAAAGAUGUUGAGGGGCUUCCAGGGCACAAAGGAAAGAGAAGUAACUGUGUCUCCUUCCCCAACCAUGUAUGUGAUACAUUCAUUCUCUAGGAUUGGAAAUUCCCAGAAAGCUGUGUCAGCAAUGAGAUUUGUUUCAUUGUUUUGCCUUGUUUUGUCAUUGAGUUGUUAUAGUUAAAGUUUAUUAUUUUUUAAUGCAGAAAAAAGUGACUUUUGGGGGAGUGCAGAGUUCUAUGAAUUUUUAACACAUGUCUAGUUAUUUGACCACAACCGUAAUCAAGAUACAGAACAGUUUUAUCAUUUCAAGUGCUCUCCUGCUAUGCUUUUAUAACACACCCUUCCCCACCCCAACUCCUGGCAAUUACUGCUCUAUUCUCCGUAACUGUAGUUUUGCCUUUUCGAGAAUAUCAUAUAAAUAAUCAUGUAUUAUGUAACAUUCUGAGACAGGCUUCUUUCACCCAGCAUAAUGCCUUUGAGAUUCAUCCAGAUCGUUGUGUGUAUCAGUAGUUUGUUUUUAUUACUGGGUUAUAGUUCAUUGUAUGGAUAUACCACAGUUUCUUUAGCCAUUCACCCACUGAAAGUCAUUUGGGUUGUUUCUAGGCUUUGGUGAUUAUGAAUAAAGCUGCUAUCAACAUCCACGUAUUGGUUUUUGUGUGAACAUAAGUAUUCAUUUCUCUAGAUGAAAUACCCACAAGUAGGAUUUCUUGAUUUUGUGAUAUAUAUGUUUUC
rnacentral:lncRNA from 1 species